UACGGAGGAUGCAAGCGUUAUCCGGAUUUAUUGGGUUUAAAGGGUGCGCAGGUUGUUUGAUAAGUCAGUGGUGAAAGUCCGUCGCUUAACGGUAGGAUUGCCAUUGAUACUGUUGGACUUGAAUAUGGAUGAGGUAGGCGGAAUGUGUAGUGUAGCGGUGAAAUGCAUAGAUAUUACACAGAACACCGAUUGCGAAGGCAGCUUACUAAUCCAUCAUUGACGCUGAGGCACGAAAGCGUGGGGAUCAAACAGGAUUA
rnacentral:rRNA from 1 species